rnacentral:rRNA from 1 species
UACGUAGGGUGCGAGCGUUAAUCGGAAUUACUGGGCGUAAAGCGUGCGUAGGCGGUUUGCCGUGUCCUGUGUGAAAGCCCCGGGCUCAACCUGGGAAUUGCAUGGGAAACUGGCAGGCUAGAGUGUGGUAGGGGAGACUGGAAUUCCUGGUGUAGCGGUGAAAUGCGCAGAUAUCAGGAGGAACACCGAUGGCGAAGGCAGGUCUCUGGGCCACUACUGACGCUGAGAAGCGAAAGCAUGGGGAGCGAACAGG